rfam:Tinamus guttatus contig136921, whole genome shotgun sequence.
CUCAAGGCCCUUCUUAGGGCCAUACAUUAUCUAUACUGCUACGAUU